rnacentral:rRNA from 1 species
UGAGGAAUAUUGCGCAAUGGACGAAAGUCUGACGCAGCAACGCCGCGUGAAGGAUGACGGUCUUCGGAUUGUAAACUUCUGUUAAGUGGGAAGAAAAAUCCGUUUCUAAUACAGACGGUAAUGACGGUACCAUUAGAGAAAGCACCGGCUAACUUCGUGCCAGCAGCCGCGGUAAUACGAGGGGUGCAAGCGUUAUUCGGAAUUAUUGGGCGUAAAGGGUACGUAGACGGCAUAUUAAGUCAACUGUUAAAUUCCUCGGCCUAACUGGGGACCAGCGGUAGAUACUGAUGUGCUAGAGGAUGGAAGAGAGAAGUGGAAUUCUCGGAGUAGCGGUAAAAUGCGUAGAUCUCGAGAGGAACACCGAUGGCGAAGGCAGCUUCUUGGUCCAUUUCUGACGUUGAGGUACGAAAGCGUGGGGAGCAAACAGGAUUAGAUACCCCCGUAGUCC